UUAUUGUAGACGAAAUUCAGAAGAGUUUUUGAAAAGAGAUAAGAUAUUUUAUUACAUACAAUAUUUAAAAAAAUGCUUUAUUUGAAGACAAUGUAGGAUCACCUAAGAUCUUUCUAACAUGUCCUGGAUAACUUUUUCAGAAUUUACUCAAAUUAUUUAACUCGGGGGAGCGGGGAGUGUUACAUUCAGUGGUCCAGGUCACAUAUAAUUACUCCUGGAGGCAUGCUAGAAGUUUGUGAUUUAUCAUUCCAUAGAUACAAAAUGUAAAUAUGAAAUAUUCCUCCAUCCAUCUGUUACUCCUCUAGAAAUGAUGAAAAGACAAUUAGAAGCUCUAGUCUGAGGGCCGGUGUUUGAAAUCAUGGCAGAGCAACUGGCAUUCCAUUGGAAGACUCCAAAAUCUGAAUUUAAAAAGAUAAUUCUCAAGAUUCUGUGGGUCAAGAAUUCAGUCAAGGCACACUUCAAGGGACUGGACACCGAAGUGUUUCAAUCAGACUAUAAGAAGGCUGAGCUGAAGACUAGAAUUAGCUGAAGGCUGGCUCACUCACUUUUCUGGCAAUUGAUGUUUGCUGUUGUCCAAGGUCCACCUGGGGCCUCUCCAGUAGCCUGAACUUUACAAAUGAAGAUGGAUAACUUUCAUGACAUAUGCAUCUCUCAAGCAGACUGAAAAGAAAUUAUGUUUAAUAUUUACAUUUAAUGAAAUCAUAAUACACUGCUAAUCAAAUUGUUACCUUUUAAAUGGCUGGAUGGAAAAUCAGGGCUAAAACACUUGGAACGAAAGGAAAAUAACUUCUAUAAUAUUUGUGACACAGACCUUAAAUUAGCAAAUUAAAGAACUCAUUGCAAUAAUAUAUAGCCAAGUCUGUUUUGAAUAUUUUUAGCAAUUGCCAAACUAUUUUUGACUUCACUUAUAUAAGUUCAGGUUGUAAUCGCGACUAAUUCAAAAGAAUCAUCCAAAGAUAACAAGAAUAGUAUGCUAUGUUAUUAUCCAGAAGGGACUGAAAUAAUCCUUUUUUUUAAAUGUUUAUUUUUGAGACAGAGAGUGAGUAAGGGAGGGGGACACAGAAUCUGAAGUCGGCUCCAGGCUCAGAGCUGUCAGCACAGAGCCCGACGAGAGGCUUGAACUCAAGAAUCGUGAGAUCAUUACCUGAGCCAGAGUCAGAUGCUUAACCAACUGAGCCACCGAGGUGCCCCAAGAGAGGACUGAAGUAAUUCUAAAUGAUGGCUUUUUAUUUUCAGUGUGAAAAAACCUCCCUGUUCCCACUUUAUGACUUUUAGAUUGUUAAUGAAAUUGUUUCUGUUUGACUGAAUAAUACCCCUUAUGGACAGAACAUGCAUUCCAAGACCCCCAGUGGAGGCCUGAAACCACUGAUAGUACCUGUCAGAAAACACUAUGUAUAUACCACUGAACAAUAUAUAUACUAUGUGUUUUCCUAUACAUACACACAUGUGAUAAAGUUUGCUUUAUAAAUUGGGCAUAGUAAGAGAUUAACAAUAAUAAUAAUAAAUAGAAUAAUCAUAAAAAUAGCACUAAUAAAAGUUAAGUGAAUAUGGUCUCUUUCAAAGUGUCUUAUGGUACUUCACUCCCCCUUCUUAUUCUUGUCAUGAUGUGUGAUGAUAAAAUGUCUCCAUGAUGAGAUGAAGCAGGGUAAAUGAUGUUGGCAUUGUGUGGUAACAUUAAGCUACUAUUGACCUUCUAACAACACAUCACAAGUAUCAUCUCCUUCCUGACCAGGGUUGAUGGGGUAACUGAAAUUGUGGAAAGGGGAGGACUACUGCAUGUAAUAUGUCAAAAAAGGACUUCACGGAUGUGAUUAAGACAAUGGGAUUUGAGAUGGGUUGACUUAUCUUAGCUAUCUGGUGGCCCCAGUCUAAUCACAGGAGCCCUUGAAAGUGACACACUUUCCCUGCUGAGAUUAGAGAGAGAUGCCUCAGAGGAACUGGAGGCAGAAGAGAUAUAACAUUGUGAGAAGUAUUCCACCUGUUCUUGCUGGCUUUGAGAUAUACCAUUACCAGGAAGGAGGCCUCUGGGAGUUAAGGUGGGGCUGGGGUGACAGCCAGCAAGUAAACAGGACCUAUGCUGCAUGCCAACAACUUGAAUGAGCCUGGAAACAGAUUUUCCCCUUGGAUCUCCAGAGAGGAAUACAGCUCUGGCGAAACCUUGAUUUUGGCCUUGUCAGACAUGAGCAGAGAGACCAGCUGAGGACAUGGGACUUCUGAUCUACAAAACUGUGAAAAAUAAAUUCAUGUUGUUUUAAGUGAUGAAAUGCUUAGUAAUUUGGUACAGCAACAGAAAACGAAUACAAUGUUUUCUCAGCUUUUCUUAUGUGAAUUUUUAUAAUAGCAUGACAAAAUAGAAAUAAAAGCUUAAAAACUUUUCAACAACUGAUACAACUUGUUAGCUCUGUUAAUUAUGUUACACAAACUUCUAAUCUUCUACUUACCCUUUUAUUAUUUGGUGACAAUGUCUAUACAGAAUUGAGAGAAUCUGUAUAAAAGUAGCAUAACACAGGAUUUGAAACAUAUGUAUUUAAUAAAGUCAGUUUCCUUA